rnacentral:rRNA from 1 species
GUGCCAGCAGCCGCGGUAAUACGAAGGGGGCUAGUGUUAUUCGUGAUUAUUGGGUGUUAAAGGGUACGUAGGCGGUUUUGCAAGUCGGGUGUGAAAGCCCUCGGCUCAACCGAGGAAGUGCGCCCGAAACUGCAGAGCUUGAGUGCCGGAGAGGAUGGCGGAAUUCCCCAAGUAGAGGUGAAAUUCGUAGAUAUGGGGAGGAACACCGGUGGCGAAGGCGGCCAUCUGGACGGUAACUGACGCUGAGACGCGAAAGCGUGGGGAGCAAACAGGAUUAGAUACCCCAGUAGUCC